UUCUCAAAUCGUCCAUUUCCGUGGUCGUCAAUUAGAGAGACAUUAGGCGUCAGUAAGGGAGACAUUACCGUACACACUUUUCCAGGCAGUCGCGCGAGCUCGUUCGGUCUCGUGGCAACCGACAAGCUUCCCCCACUCCUUCCGCUCCAGUCUCGGUCGACCGAGCGUUCGGUUUCGCGGCAACCGACAGGCUUCCCCCACCCCUUCCGCUCGUGUCUCGGUCGACCGAGCUCGUCCUUAAAAGAAGGUCCGCGCCUCGUUUCCACCGCGUACACUAAGAGAAUACUGUAAACACGGCUAGCCGGAGAACGUCGCGACAGAUUUGUGGUAGGGCUCUGACGAGUUACGACGAUUUUCUUGCAGAUCUGCAACACCUGGGCGGCUUCAAGAUACCGUGCGCGACGCUAUCGCGCGCCCAGGAGCACCAGGAACGGAACGGCGACAGGUUCCUCUGUCCGAGGUGUCCGAGCAGCUUCAACCGGAAGAACAAUCUGUACUCGCACCUGAAGUUCGAGUGCGGCCAGCUGCCUAGGUUCGGCUGCCCUUACUGCAGCUACACGUCGAAGAAGUCGUCGAACAUAAGGGCGCACGUGCGCAGGAAACACUUCGGGUUCAAAGUGAGCGUGACGGACGUGUCGCAAGCCGGCUACGGAUCGUCCGUGGAAGAUCACAGAGACACGAAGAUGACUAGGGCGUUCUAAAUCGCCGACAGCCCGCGACGCCGAUCGAUCGUCGCGUCGCGCCGCGCCGCGCCGCGCGUAUCCGAUCCUUUUGACCGCAGUGUAGAUCGUUCGUAGAUCCUUGGAAACAGUAUUCCGACCUCGUCUUUCACUUUUUGGAUUAGUUCAAUAAAGCGAUCAAGCAAGCCAGUCGUUACGCAAACAAAUUAAGCAACAAAAUUACAUCCUUUUUUUCAUCCUCCGCAACGAAGAUAUCAUCAUCCCCCCCUGCACACAGAUCACGAGGACACACAGAUAGAUCCAUCUGGGGCUCGGCGAACGAUGAUUUUGCGCGGGCAAAACCCCACCUCGCUCGCCCCGCCCCCCUCUCUGCCUCCUCCCCCGCCGAGGCCGGACCGCCUAUAGGAUUCGACAGUCAUGAAGAAGGUUUGACCCGCAAAAAAAAGGUUUACUAGACGCCAGCUUCGAAUUCUUAUAGUCCACACUCUCUCUCUCGCUCUCUCUAUAGCGCGCCCUGUCUGUUUACCGGGACGUAAAACGCUGGGAAUACCGAGACCGUUCCGAACAUGGUUGACGUGUGUUUGAUUAUGUUGCAGGAUUGAAUUACUGCGUCUACGCAGGCGUGUCCUCCCAGAAUUACGUACUGCAUCACGGGACGGCGGCCGUCCCGAUGGUGCUCCCCACAGAUACCACGAGAACGAUCGGCCGGAAGUUCCCUUGCACGAAUUGCACCAGCUCGUUCAGCCGUAAGGGCGGUCUGACCUACCAUCAGAAGUUCGAGUGCGGGCAAGAGCCGCGGUUCAAGUGUCCUUACUGCACCUAUCGGGCGAGCCACAUAUCGAACACGCGCCGGCACGUACGGAAACGUCAUCCCGGAAGAGAGGUGUACACCCUCGAUCUCUGCCAGCUGAUGCAGAACGUUUGAAACCGUGCCGGUGGAACGCCGGACGCGUCACAACCGCGAAGAUCGUCCUCUACGUGCUGGAAGAUUACGACGUCCGGAAGAGUCCCGAUGGGAACGCGCGACGGGACACGGAGGCGUUGCGUUUCCAGCGUCGCCUGUCGUCUAGCGAAGAGUCCUUCGUGGCGCCAGGAAGAACGGCGUUCAAAGGUCUGCCGACGGCGGUCGUGUACGAUCCGCAACAGCACGGACGGAAUGAGUUCGCGACGAGCGAGAGUCGCCUUGAACGCGAUCCGAGGACCAAUAGUGGCCGUAAACAAGCGCCUCCGUUCCCCAGGGAAAUCACAUUCGAUCCUCGUUCUCGUGUAUCGCGAACGAGAUUUACCUCGAAAGAAAAGAAAAGAAAAGAAAAAGAGAAAACGAGAAGAAAAGCAGACGGAAAAGAACGAAGAGAAAUAAAACGAAGAGCGAAAAACAUAAACCGAAGGAAACGAGAAAGUGCAACACCGUUGACGGUCCCUCGAAGAUAUCUCUCUCUCUGUACAGUUUACCGUUAAUCGUUGUUCCUGCGCCAGGCGGAUCGACAGUGUCGCCACCUGGCCGCGUUAAUUCCUAGCAGCAGCAGCAACAGCAGCAGACUUCUCUCCGUGGCUGUCCGAACGUAGACUCGUAGGCGUUACAAAAAAGGUUACAGUUUCCCGACAGUUUCAUCGUCCGACGAUUGUACGAAGAGAGAAAGAAAAGAAACGAAAAGAAAUCCCUCCUGUGUACUUAACGAUCGCUUAACGGCCGGAUCUGCUAAAUAUAACCAUGUUCAAUGAACGCGUCCCUCGA